rnacentral:SRP_RNA from 1 species
UCCGUCGGCCCCCGCGGCGAUAGAUGGUGAACUCGGCCAGGUCCGGAAGGAAGCAACCGUAAUCAUCGAUUCGGGCGACGGGAUCCGUCGGCGGA